rnacentral:lncRNA from 1 species
GGAAAUGGUGUCACAUCUUUGCCUGUCCAUUCAACCUUGAAUUUGUCAUGUGGCAGGCCGUCCUUCUUCUGUCAUUAAUGGCUUAUAUCCAGCGUCUUUCCAAGAGCUACUUGGAUCAAAAUCAACACAAAUGAUUUGACAUGGGGUAAUCCAUGACUCGCAGCUUGUUGUAGUGCUGUGUUUCGUAGUUUCAAUGGCGCUUUCGAGGCAAUUUUGCAAUGCCUCUUGGCCACCAAACAUGUUUUAUGUUGAGAUGUAUGCGAUUGUUCAGGUUAUUGAGUUUGCAACUCCGAAGGGACGGGAUUGUAUUUGGUCAGAGAGUGCGACUCAUCUUCAGCAGCCAGCUUCAACUUGUCUCAUGAGCUCCAGCUUCAAGCCGCCAUGGCAACUGCGCUUCAGAUGGUUCAGUUGCUUGAGCUUAAUUCGUGGUACGCAUUUUACUUGUUUGCACAACUGCGCUUCAGAUCUACUUGAGGAUGCUUGAGGUCUUCUCCAAAUAUCACUUCAAAUCAGUGAUUUCAUAAUAUUUUCUCCUCUUUUUUCUUAAUAAAAUUUCAGUAUCAUUCAUAUGAAAAAAAAAAUUAAUAUAUAAUGCAUGUCAUAACAUUCACAAACCUUCUAAUAUUUCGCCUCUUGCAUUGCAUUAUACCAUAACAAAAAGAUUUUCUUCAACGUAGGGAAAUUGGCUUUAUUUACAUUUAUUUAAAAAUUAAAAAAAAAAAACUGAAAAUCAAGAAUCGAGCCGUUCAUUAGAGUGAAUCAAAAUAAAUUGAACCGAUAAAAGACUACCAGAGAUGAAUCUUUAGAACACCAAGUCUGAAGAUACAAGAUUUUUUGAUAGCAGGAUUAAUUAUAAAAAGUUUGAAACAAUUCGAAAUUUGUAUUAAAUAAUUAUGAACCCUUACGGCAAGACUAGUAACCAAGUAAAUACAUCACUACCUUGGAACAACUUCUGCAACUUUUGGAUGCAUGGUACGAAGAAGAAUACAAAUAUAAAAGCCCAAAAGUUAAAAAAAAAAAAAAAAAAAAAGAGGUAGAAAACCUAAUUGAAUGCAUGAACACAUCCGCUGAGCACACAUAUAGGAGCAAAAUCACUGAUCAAAUUUAUGAUUUGAGUCUCUCCAAGAGUCUUGCAACAGGAGUGAAAUCGAGUCCCGCAAUAGCUAAAUGAUUCGCCACUUGAUAAAAAAAUUGAAUCUGCACCUCUCAGAGUACCUUCAAACAAUUAAGAACAUAUUGAAGUAACAAGUUAUUAGAUGCAGACUUCUGCAUGAAGGAAAUUAUUAGAAAGGAUUAGUGCGAGAAGAAGUACGCACCAGAAAUUAAUCAAAUGUGAUCUCUGCUCAAGAUUUGAAACAGGGAAGAAAAGCAUUUCGAGUAGCUUCAUCCACCCAUUCGAGCUGUUCCCACCAUUUUCUGUCUCCACGAAUAACAAUGUUACGUUCUCUUGCACUAUUGGAAUCAAGUGGAAGCUUUUUAAGCUUAUGGCAAUGCAAGAAACUCAUCGAUUUCAGAUUUGGGAAGGGCAGGGGCUUCCAGUAAAUGCUCUUCAAAUUUAUCACACCAAAAAAUUUAAGAUUUUGGAGCUUUGCAAAUGGGUUUAGAUUUGCCGUCACCUCUGGAACUGCGGCAAAUUUUCCCACACUUACGAUUUCUUCCAUAGCAACGCAACCUAAUACUUCAAUAGACUUGAGGUUUGGAGCGAAAGCAAGGAAUGUCAAGUCCUUCAAUUUAUUGCACUUGACAAUGUCAACCUUUUUAAGACCGUGGAAAACAAAUCGUUGAACUACCCCUGGAUAAUCAAUCUUUAAUUCUUCCAACUUUUUACAUUCAGAAAUCCGCAAUUCGUUGAGUUGCUUCAGAUCGGCCAAAGCUGAAAUUUCAAGGAAUGUCGUAUCUUUGAAGUGUUGGAGUGACAGAGCUUGAAUACAACUUCGUAACUUAUGCGAGCUCAAAAAACUUUGGAGAGCACGGGAACUUCUCAAGUUGAAGCUAAUCACCUCCAAAUAUUUCAAACCAAGCAGUUCCUCUACAACGAGUUCACCCAAAACGCUGUCUUCUGAUGCUUCAUCCAAAACAUUGUUACUAGCACCGAACAUUCUCAACACAUGUAACCUUGAAAGAUUAGAUACUAGUUGACGUGGAAUUGUAAUUAAAUACCUUGUCCAUUCCAAAUUCAAACACUUGAGAUUUACCAAUGCCUUUAACUCUUCUGGCAACUCUGAUAUAUCUGAUUCAGAAAGAUCAAGAUGUUGCAGUGAAACCAGCUGUGCAAUCCCUACGGGGAGUUCGGUUAGUUCGGCGUGCGACAAAUUUAAAACUUUGAGAGAGGGCAUAAAUUGGAAGAAGUCAUUGUGGAUCAUCUGUAGCUUAUUCUUGUUAAGAAACAAAGUAAGGAGAUGAGGGCAUGUAGGAAUCUCAGACAGAUUCGUAAUUUGAUUGUCCAUCAAUGAAAUUCUCCUCGCAUUUGCCCAACCUUUGACCUCUGGCGCUUCUGUCAAUCCAACCCCUGCAUAAACCAAAAAAUUCUCUUUCUCCUUUUCAAUGUCGCAUGCUAUCCACAAUGCCAUAUCUCGAACUACGUCAUGCAUUUUUACUUCACCAUCUCCUCCCUCUUCCAGUAAACAUACAUGAAGAAGAAUGCCCAGAAUAUGGUAUCCUUGGUUUUGUUCUCCAAACCGGUCCCUUUCAGUCAAAAAUCCCUCGCCGAUCCAACAAUCUAUCAAAUUCUCUUUAGAAAUGCAAUAAUCUUCUGGAUAUAAACUACAAUAUAAGAGACAAGAUCUAAUUGUGUCAUUGGGCAAAUUAUCAUAACUGAAUCUUAAAAGAGGGUAAACCUCGUUUCCCAAACCUGCAAACUGAGAACUUGAUGUUCUUAACACUUGGAUUGCAUAUCUCCACUCUUCAGGUGUCUUCUUGCAAGCCAUAGCUCGGCCAACGGUAAUAAGUGCCAGUGGCAAACCACCACACUCCUUAGCUACUGUAUGUGCCAGCUCAAGAAUAGCAGGAUGACUAUGUAGGGCUUCUUCCCCAACUUUCUGUCGAAACAAUUCCCAAGCAUCGAUAUCUGAUAAGCACGCUACUUUAAACUUCUUCUGAGCAUCCAUCAAACCACAAACUUCUUCGGAACGGGUAGUGAAUACCACUUUGGAUGCAUUAUUUUGUGGGCCAGGAAGAGGGACGCCCACUUUUGUUAAAUCAACCCGCUGCCAUAAGUCAUCUAGCAACAGCACAAAUUUCUUCUCCUUCAAAAUCCUGAAGAUGUCUUGAGCUUUCUGUUCAAUUCUUCUAUUCUUCCAUGUAUCAUUCAACAAACCAAUCUUCUCCCCGAUAGUUUCUUGAAUGUUUUCAAGUCGCAAGUCUUUUGACACUACAACCCAUAUCACACAACUAAAAUUAGUUGGACGCUGAAGAAAUUUAUUGUUGAUAUGAGUCAAUAGUGUAGUUUUACCGACCCCGCCCAUGCCGUAUAGGCCAACAAUUCCGACUGAUUCUUCUUCAAGACAUCUCCAAACUUGCUCAAGUUGUAAUUGCAGGCCUACUACUGUUGGCUCAAUAGGCCUUUCCUCCGCUACUGAUUCUGAAGCUCUCUGAGCUACCACUUCAAAUGCUCCUUCGGCCAUUAAAGUCUCGAUAUCUCUUAGCUUUUUAGCCACUUGUUUGCCAAACUUGUAGCUUGACUUGCAGUUCUUGGAACAGUAGCCUCCAAGGCAUAGUUUCUCAAUUUCUUGAGAGCCAUGUCUUGUCAAUUCAUCAGCUUCAGCUGUAACAGCGUCCACUCUCGAAAGCCAGCCAUGAACUUUGUUCAGCCUUGUCAUCAUUGGUUGCCUUUCAGCGUUGACGACUCUCGCCAUCACAUCGUUCUUUGCUUCGAUUAGUUUUACCAAUUCAGUCUUCAAGGCUACAACAUUUUCUUGCAGGUUUCUUAUAUAUGCUGCUUUUCCAAGAAAGCAAUCCAGGCAACGAUUGAAAAUAGCGCCAUCGCAUGAGAUUGAGAUUUGCAAAAUGUUACCCAUUUUUUUGGGAUAAUAGAAAUCAACUACGGGAAACCAAGAUAAUUUUAAUAGAAGCUGCUGCGGAUUGAAAAAAUUUUGUGUUUUGUAAAUUUAGAAAGGAUUAGGCAUGUGCCAUUCGUGACUGCUUUACCUGCCUUGAAUAAAUUAGCCUUUUGCUUUUGUAAUUAAUUUAACAUUUAUCCUCAGCUUGUAAUUUAAUAAAAGAAUUCUUCUUGCUGUCAUUAUGACCUUGCUUUUGGUUGUUCCAUUUGUAAUUAAAUGUGGAAAAUGAUAGGUGAACAUCAGAACGACAAAAUGAAGACAGAAACAGCAGCCACUUGCUGCUGUUCUCAUUCACUUACUAUUUUUUCUGCAUUUGUUGGCCCUACAGUUAUAUUAAAAUAUUAAUUAAAAAAAAAAAAGGAAAUCCCCACCUUAUCUCUAAAUCAGGAAGAGAAGAUAUCAAAGCAACGUCAUCUAAUUUGAAGAGAGUACUCAGCGGUUUUCAUUAUUUGAAUGUAAUGAGAGAGACCAACUUACUAAUUAAUCAGUAAUAAUUUUAUCAAACUGCCUCUGUUUGCAGAUCUAUUACCAUUGGUUUUGUUUCACUUUUUUUUUUUCAACUAUCGAACAGAUCUAUCUUCUCGCUUCUUCCAAAUACAGGGUUGGAAAUGCAGCUAUUUGAACUGAGAGAAGACAGAAGGAAAUGCAUUGGCUGGAAAUGCAGCUAAAAAGUGCGACAGAUGCAGAUGCAGAUAGAGUUCGGCCUUUCACUUUAGAUUCACGCGCUUUUUUUAAAC